AAGAAAAUGACAGAGUGGUUAUGUGGCUGGCUUGAAAUCAGUUUAUGGGGGUUCAACUCCUCCUUUUCUCG
rnacentral:tRNA from 1 species